GAUGAACGCUAGCGGCAGGCUUAAUACAUGCAAGGCGAAGGGGCAGCAAUGUCACUGUCGUACGGGUGCGUAACGCGUAUGCAACCUACCUAUCACUGGGGGAUAGCCCGGGGAAACCCGGAUUAAUACCGCAUAAAACAGGGGCACCGCAUGGUGAUAUUUGUUAAAGAUUUAUUGGUGAUAGAUGGGCAUGCGUUCGAUUAGCUAGUUGGCGGGGUAACGGCCCACCAAGGCGACGAUCGAUAGGGGAGCUGAGAGGUUGAUCCCCCACACGGGCACUGAGAUACGGGCCCGACUCCUACGGGAGGCAGCAGUAGGGAAUAUUGGGCAAUGGAUGCAAGUCUGACCCAGCCAUGCCGCGUGCCGGAUGAAGGCCCUCAGGGUUGUAAACGGCUUUUAUUCGGGAAGAAGAGCAGGGAUGCGUCCUUGUGUGACGGUACCGAAUGAAUAAGCACCGGCUAACUCCGUGCCAGCAGCCGCGGUAAUACGGAGGGUGCGAGCGUUGUCCGGAUUUAUUGGGUUUAAAGGGUGCGUAGGUGGCCUUAUAAGUCAGUGGUGAAAUACGGUUGCUCAACAAUCGAGGUGCCAUUGAUACUGUGAGGCUUGAAAUAAUUGGAGGCUGCCGGAAUGGAUGGUGUAGCGGUGAAAUGCAUAGAUAUCAUCCAGAACACCGAUUGCGAAGGCAGGUGGCUACGAUUUGUUUGACACUGAGGCACGAAAGCAUGGGGAGCAAACAGGAUUAGAUACCCUGGUAGUCCAUGCUGUAAACGAUGAGGACUCGUUGUUUGACGGUAACGUUGAGCGACUUAGGGAAACCGUUAAGUCCUCCACCUGGGGAGUACGCCGGCAACGGUGAAACUCAAAGGAAUUGACGGGGGUC
rnacentral:rRNA from 1 species